GAUGAACGCUGGCGGCGUGCCUAAUACAUGCAAGUCGAGCGAACAGACGAGGAGCUUGCUCCUCUGACGUUAGCGGCGGACGGGUGAGUAACACGUGGAUAACCUACCUAUAAGACUGGGAUAACUUCGGGAAACCGGAGCUAAUACCGGAUAAUAUAUUGAACCGCAUGGUUCAAUAGUGAAAGACGGUUUUGCUGUCACUUAUAGAUGGAUCCGCGCCGCAUUAGCUAGUUGGUAAGGUAACGGCUUACCAAGGCAACGAUGCGUAGCCGACCUGAGAGGGUGAUCAGCCACACUGGAACUGAGACACGGUCCAGACUCCUACGGGAGGCAGCAGUAGGGAAUCUUCCGCAAUGGGCGAAAGCCUGACGCAGCAACGCCGCGUGAGUGAUGAAGGCCUUCGGAUCGUAAAACUCUGUUAUUAGGGAAGAAAAAAUGUAUAAUAAACCAUGGACGUCUUGACGGUACCCAAUCAGAAAGCCCCGGCUAACUACGUG
rnacentral:rRNA from 1 species